rnacentral:rRNA from 1 species
UGGGGAAUAUUGCACAAUGGGCGCAAGCCUGAUGCAGCCAUGCCGAGUGUAUGAAGAAGGCCUUCGGGUUGUAAAGUACUUUCAGCGGGGAGGAAGGCGAUAAGGUUAAUAACCUUGUCGAUUGACGUUACCCGCAGAAGAAGCACCGGCUAACUCCGUGCCAGCAGCCGCGGUAAUACGGAGGGUGCAAGCGUUAAUCGGAAUUACUGGGCGUAAAGCGCACGCAGGCGGUCUGUCAAGUCGGAUGUGAAAUCCCCGGGCUCAACCUGGGAACUGCAUUCGAAACUGGCAGGCUAGAGUCUUGUAGAGGGGGGUAGAAUUCCAGGUGUAGCGGUGAAAUGCGUAGAGAUCUGGAGGAAUACCGGUGGCGAAGGCGGCCCCCUGGACAAAGACUGACGCUCAGGUGCGAAAGCGUGGGGAGCAAACA